AUACAACUUUCAGCAACGGAUCUCUUGGCUCUCGCAUCGAUGAAGAACGCAGCGAAAUGCGAUAAGUAAUGUGAAUUGCAGAAUUCAGUGAAUCAUCGAAUCUUUGAACGCACCUUGCACUCCUUGGUAUUCCGAGGAGUAUGCCUGUUUGAGCGUC
rnacentral:rRNA from 1 species